GAUGAACGCUGGCGGCGUGCCUAAUACAUGCAAGUCGAGCGAACAGACGAGGAGCUUGCUCCUUUGACGUUAGCGGCGGACGGGUGAGUAACACGUAGGUAACCUACCUAUAAGACUGGGAUAACUUCGGGAAACCGGAGCUAAUACCGGAUAAUAUUUCGAACCGCAUGGUUCGAUAGUGAAAGAUGGCUUUGCUAUCACUUAUAGAUGGACCUGCGCCGUAUUAGCUAGUUGGUAAGGUAACGGCUUACCAAGGCAACGAUACGUAGCCGACCUGAGAGGGUGAUCGGCCACACUGGAACUGAGGCACGGUCCAGACUCCUACGGGAGGCAGCAGUAGGGAAUCUUCCGCAAUGGGCGAAAGCCUGACGGAGCAACGCCGCGUGAGUGAUGAAGGUCUUCGGAUCGUAAAACUCUGUUAUUAGGGAAGAACAAACGUGUAAGUAACUGUGCACGUCUUGACGGUACCUAAUCAGAAAGCCACGGCUAACUACGUG
rnacentral:rRNA from 1 species